rnacentral:rRNA from 1 species
GGACAGUGCCUGGUGGGUAGUUUGACUGGGGCGGUCUCCUCCCAAAGAGUAACGGAGGAGCACGAAGGUGGGCUAAUCACGGUUGGACAUCGUGAGGUUAGUGCAAUGGCAUAAGCCCGCUUAACUGCGAGAAUGACGGUUCGAGCAGGUGCGAAAGCAGGUCAUAGUGAUCCGGUGGUUCUGAAUGGAAGGGCCAUCGCUCAACGGAUAAAAGGUACUCCGGGGAUAACAGGCUGAUACCGCCCAAGAGUUCAUAUCGACGGCGGUGUUUGGCACCUCGAUGUCGGCUCAUCACAUCCUGGGGCUGAAGUCGGUCCCAAGGGUAUGGCUGUUCGCCAUUUAAAGUGGUACGCGAGCUGGGUUUAGAACGUCGUGAGACAGUUCGGUCCCUAUCUGCCGUGGGCGUUGGAAGAUUGAAGGGGGCUGCUCCUAGUACGAGAGGACCGGAGUGGACGAACCUCUGGUGUUCGGGUUGUGUCGCCAGACGCAUUGCCCGGUAGCUAAGUUCGGAAU